UCUGGAUUGGCAGAUUUUAUGCGUUGAAUUUAGGUUUUAAUAAAGUAUUUAUUACAUUCAGUA
rnacentral:tRNA from 1 species